AGAGUUUGAUCCUGGCUCAGGAUGAACGCUGGCGGCAUGCCUAAUACAUGCAAGUCGAACGAGAGGAAGGAAAGCUUGCUUUCCUAAAUCUAGUGGCGAACGGGUGAGUAACACGUAGGUAACCUGCCCAUGUGCCCGGGAUAACUUCUGGAAACGGAUGCUAAAACCGGAUAGGUAGCAGACAAGCAUUUGACUGCUAUUAAAGUGGCUAAGGCCAUGAACAUGGAUGGACCUGCGGUGCAUUAGCUAGUUGGUGAGGUAACGGCCCACCAAGGCGACGAUGCAUAGCCGGCCUGAGAGGGCGGACGGCCACAUUGGGACUGAGACACGGCCCAAACUCCUACGGGAGGCAGCAGUAGGGAAUUUUCGUCAAUGGGGGGAACCCUGAACAAGCAAUGCCGCGUGAGUGAGGAAGGUCUUCGGAUCGUAAAGCUCUGUUGUAAGAGAAAAACGGCACUCAUAGGGAAUGAUGAGUGAGUGAUGGUAUCUUACCAGAAAGUCACGGCUAACUACGUGCCAGCAGCCGCGGUAAUACGUAGGUGGCGAGCGUUAUCCGGAAUGAUUGGGCGUAAAGGGUGCGUAGGUGGCAGAUCAAGUCUGGAGUAAAAGGUAUGGGCUCAACCCGUACUCGCUCUGGAAACUGAUCAGCUAGAGAACAGAAGAGGACGGCGGAACUCCAUGUGUAGCGGUAAAAUGCGUAGAUAUAUGGAAGAACACCGGUGGCGAAGGCGGCCGUCUGGUCUGGAUUCUGACACUGAAGCACGAAAGCGUGGGGAGCAAAUAGGAUUAGAUACCCUAGUAGUCCACGCCGUAAACGAUGAGAACUAGGUGUUGGGGGAAUAACU
rnacentral:rRNA from 1 species